AAGUUACUUCGGUACAUCGGUGACAGGUGGUGCAUGGUUGUCGUCAGCUCGUGUCGUGAGAUGUGGGUUAAGUCCCGCAACGAGCGCAACCCCUAUUGUUAGUUGCCAUCAUUCAGUUGGGCACUCUAGCGAGACUGCCGGUAAUAAACCGGAGGAAGGUGGGGAUGACGUCAAAUCAUCAUGCCCCUUAUGACCUGGGCUACACACGUGCUACAAUGGUUGGUACAACGAGUUGCGAGUCGGUGACGGCGAGCUAAUCUCUUAAAGCCAAUCUCAGUUCGGAUUGUAGGCUGCAACUCGCCUACAUGAAGUCGGAAUCGCUAGUAAUCGCGGAUCAGCACGCCGCGGUGAAUACGUUCCCGGGCCUU
rnacentral:rRNA from 1 species